rnacentral:rRNA from 1 species
AGUGAACGCUGGCGGCGUGCCUAAUACAUGCAAGUCGAACGGAGUGGCGCACGGGUGAGAAAUAUAUAGCUAAUCUGCCCCUUGCUGGAGGACAACAGUUAGAAAUGACUGCUAAUACUCCAUAGCAAGGGAUGAGACUAUAUCGUAUCAGCUGGUCGGUGGGGUAACGGCCUACCGAGGCUAUGACGCGUAACUGGUCUGAGAGGAUGAGCAGUCACAUUGGAACUUGGACACGGUCCAAACUCCUACGAGAGGCAGGAGUAGUUAAUAGUGCGCAAUGGGGGGAACCCUGUCGGAGCAACGCGGGGUGGAGGAUGACACGUUUCAGAGCGUAAACUCCUUUGGUUAGGGAAGCGGUACCUAACGAAUAAGCACCGGCUAACUACGUGCCAGCAGCCGCGGUAAUAC